GGGGCGGCCUGGGACUCGGGGGCGGGGUCAGUCAUAUAAGGCUGUGCCCAGCGCUUUUGGAAGCAGUAAGUCCAGCCCGAGGCUAAGGAGGUGUUAACCACCGAAGGGAGGUAGAAUGUUUUUCCCCACCAGAGGAGGCAGCGACCACGUCUCCUCUAUGGAGGCAUUCAAGAGCCGUCCAGCUGAAGCAGCAUCACUGUCUGAGCUCGGAAGGCACAAUCCACAUAGGUCUGCAUGGUCCACCGAGCUGCAUACCCACGGGGCCAGCGGGAGGUGGGCAGCUGCUGGGCUCUCUUCUGAAGCAGACAGGAUCUCACUCUGUUGCUGAGGCUGGAUCACAGCUCCCUGCAACCUUGAACUCUCCCUCAAGCAAUUCUCCCCACUCUGCCUUCCAAAGCACUAGCAUUAUAGGCCUAAGCCACCACUCCCAUCCACUGUAGUGUAAACUGUCUCCUUCAAUGUUUCCAAUAGUUGCGGAGCAGAUCAGAUAAGGGUUCUUCCUGUCUGUUGCUUCAAGUUUCAUUCUCUCUUUAAACAAUACAAGGUUGGCUUCCAUGGUUCCUUCUUAAAGAAUGUUGAAGGUGUGUCUUCAGAUUCAUUUAGUGUUCGUGGAACCCCAGGGAAAGCUGAUGUAAAAACCUCUUUUUUCUCCCAUAUGUCUCAAAAAGUUGUAUUUUCUGGGUCCAAGGGAUCUGCAAGCCUCCUAAAGGCAUUUCCAUUGUCACUACCACCAGGUGUGAACUGUAAUCUGGCACGUAUAGUUCCAAGAACUGUCAUAAUAGAUGCUGAAGAAACAUUGUGAAGUUAACUCGCUGUUACCAACUGUGAAGUCAUUAGCUAGAGGAAUCUUGGGCGGUCUGAAAUCUGAGAUACUGUGGAAAGAACAGAAAGAUCCUGUAUCUUUCCUAUAAUUGUUCUACUGGAAGUUGUCAUUUUACACAGGAGACAUUCUGUUUUAUUUAUUUUCUUUUGAGACAGGGUCUCACUCUGUCGCCCAGGCUGGAGUGCAGUGUUGUUACCACAGGUCACUGGUGCCUCCACUGCCUGAGGACUGCUCAAGCAAUCCUCCUGCCUCAGUCCCCUGAGGAGCUGGGGCCACAGGCCUGCACCACCAUGCCUGGCUAAUUAUUUUUAUUUGUAGAGACAAAGUCUAUCUUGCCUAGGCUGAUCUCGAACUCCUGGGCUCAAGUAAUCCUCCCGCGGUGGCUUCUCAAAGUGCUUGGGAUUACAGAUGGUCUUGCUCUGUCACCCAGUCUGGAAUGCAGUGGUGCCAUCAUAGCUCACUACAGCCUGAGCUGUACUGAGCUCGAGGGAUCUUCCCGUCUCCGCCUCCUAAGCAGCUGGGACUACAGGUAAUGGAAGUGGGCAGAGAAUGAUCCUUUCCCUAGGCUCCAGUGUGUAAGAAUUAAAGAAAGAGGAAAGAAACACAAUGGCUUGAUGGUCGAGGACAGGUUUAUUUUAAAGAAAACAAACCCAAGAGUGGCUUCUGGCUGAGUUAGAUCAGAGAAGAGAAGUGAUUUUCUUGAAAUGCAUGAGGCUGGAAAGGGAGCUGGCACUUAAAGUGGCGGUGUUUGUCCGAGAGGAUGGUGCUCCUGCUCUGUCACAGUGGGCAUGGGGAUUCAGGCCACUGCCACCGAAUUUCAAGAGCCCAAGCACAGAGCCCAGAACUAAAUUGUGAGGGUUUAAAAAAAAAAAAAGCUUUAUUGAAGUAUAAUUGACAUACAAUAAACUUGAAUAUUUAAAGUGUACAA
rnacentral:lncRNA from 10 species